AUACGUAGGGCGCGAGCGUUAUCCGGAAUUAUUGGGCGUAAAGAGCUCGUAGGCGGUUUGUCACGUCUGCUGUGAAAGCCCGGGGCUCAACCCCGGGUGUGCAGUGGGUACGGGCAGACUAGAGUGCAGUAGGGGAGACUGGAAUUCCUGGUGUAGCGGUGAAAUGCGCAGAUAUCAGGAGGAACACCGAUGGCGAAGGCAGGUCUCUGGGCUGUUACUGACGCUGAGGAGCGAAAGCAUGGGGAGCGAACAGGAUUAGAUACCCUGGUAGUCCAUGCCGUAAACGUUGGGCACUAGGUGUGGGGGACAUUCCACGUUUUCCGCGCCGUAGCUAACGCAUUAAGUGCCCCGCCUGGGGAGUACGGCCGCAAGGCUAAA
rnacentral:rRNA from 1 species